GACGAACGCUGGCGGCGUGCCUAACACAUGCAAGUCGAACGGAAAGGCGCUGCUUUUGCGGGGUUCCCGAGUGGCGAACGGGUGUGUAACACGUGAGUAACCCGCCCAUGACUUUGGGAUAACUUCAGGCAACCGGGGCUAAUACCGGAUAGGAGCUCCUGCUGCAUGGUGGGGGUCGGAAAGUUUCGGCGGUUGGGGAUGGACUUGCGGCUUAUCAGCUUGUUGGGUGGGUAGUGGCUUACCCAGGCUUUGACGGAUAGCCGGCCUGGGAGGGGGACCGGCGACAUGAGGACUGAGGGACGCACCAGUCUGCAACGUGAGGCAGCAGUGGAAAGUAUUGCACAGUGGGCGGGAGCCUGAGAAAGCGGCGCCGCGUGCGGAAUGACGGCCUACUGGUGAUGAACCGCUUUCGCCUGUGACGUAGCGUGAGUGACGGUAAUGAGUAAAGAAGCACCGGCUAACUACGUG
rnacentral:rRNA from 1 species